AUUAGAUACCCUGGUAGUCCACGCAGUAAACGAUGAAUGUCAGCUGUCCGGGACUUCGGUCCUGGGUGGCACAGCGAAAGCGUUAAACAUUCCACCUGGGGAGUACGCCGGCAACGGUGAAACUCAAAGGAAUUGACGGGGGCCCGCACAAGCGGAGGAACAUGUGGUUUAAUUCGAUGAUACGCGAGGAACCUUACCCGGGCUCAAACGUGACUGGAAUGUCCGCGAAAGCGGGCAGCCCUUCGGGGCCGGUUACGAGGUGCUGCAUGGUUGUCGUCAGCUCGUGCCGUGAGGUGUCGGCUUAAGUGCCAUAACGAGCGCAACCCCUACCGACAGUUGCUAACAAGCGAAGUUGAGGACUCUGUCGGGACUGCCGGCGCAAGCUGCGAGGAAGGCGGGGAUGACGUCAAAUCAGCACGGCCCUUACGUCCGGGGCGACACACGUGCUACAAUGGGUGGCACAGAGGGAAGCCAGGCGGCGGCGCCGAGCGGAACCCGAAAUCCACUCUCAGUUCGGAUCGGAGUCUGCAACCCGACUCCGUGAAGCUGGAUUCGCUAGUAAUCGCGCAUCAGCCAUGGCGCGGUGAAUACGUUCCCGGGCCUUGUACACACCGCCCGUCAAGCCAUGGGAGCCGAGGGCGCUUGAAGUGCGUCGCCGCAAGACGCGCCCUAGAGCGAAAUCGGUGACUGGGGCUAAGUCGUAACAAGGUAAC
rnacentral:rRNA from 1 species